rnacentral:lncRNA from 1 species
GGGAGGUAGGGGGUCUCAUUAAGGGAUGUCACUAGCAUGAAUGGAACUGCUUAAUCAUUCCAGCACAGAGCACCCAUGCCCCAGAUGCUGGCUGCUAGCGGCUCACAUGCUUGUUCAUUUAUUGAAAGCACUAUCCUUGGUUACAAAGAGCCUCUUGGUGGAUGAUGCCUGGGACAUUUUACCCUACCCUGGGGCAGUGCAUGGCAUUUGGUUGACAGAUGGGAGAGUGUAACAGCUCAGCCCCUUUAGCUGGGCAGGACAACCUCUGAGAUGCAGCAGAUGCUGCAGACCUCCCAGUGGGACCGGGUCUAGGCUAGACUAUUCCUAAACCCCAUCUUUGCCCAGCCCCUUCUGCCCCACACUGCUUCUCUCCUCAUCCCCACCCCCUCACUAUAGGUUUCUUCUCAGGGCUUUCCCUCAAUUAAUCAUUUGCACAAGAAUUCCAUCUCAGCCUCUGAGUCUAGAGAACCUAAGACAAGCCCCUUUCAUGGACAGUGUGCUGGGCAUGGGAGAUGGAGGAGGGCAUCCAGAAAAGAAGAGAACAGGGCUGAAGCUAGGACAGGGACCACAACCAUGUCGCCUUACUUUGCCCCAUCCUUCCCACCCUGAUUCUACUGUGCAGAUGCCAUGGAUGUGCCACUUAGAAUGCCAUCAAUUAUUGAAGAAGUUCCAAAAGAAGGGAAUGUAAGUGAAGAUGAAAGAUUCCAAUGGAAGACAGACUGGUCCCACUGCUUGGGGAGGACCUAAGCUAUCAUGUCUGGGAAAAAAGCAUUUUAGUUUCCUGCUGUGAGAAAGCUCCAAAUGCUUUGGAGGCUGAAGAAGCUGCCCUGACAAAGACAGGAAAGCGCGGGCGGGGCUGAUGGGUCUUUUUCAUCUCCCCCCUUUGCUGAUGAAGAGGCAGUGCUGUAAAAUGACGAAAUCAAGAAAGCACAGGACUCUGGCUCAGAACUGUUGGCAGGCACAACUGAGAAGCUAGAAUCUAAUAUCAUUGUUUUGCUUUAUUUAUGACAAGCAAUAUUGGUUUUCCAUUUAUGGUAGAGAUAUUAAGUUUCCCUUUGAAAUAAAUGUAUUUUUGAAGUUAAAACAGUGUUGAUUGAAAACAAAUACUAAAUAAAUAAUAAGUAGCUUGUGGGUAUGUGCAAGUCAUGAAAACGGUACCCAAAUUACUGCAAUCUGGGAACACCUCAUAGACCAAGCAAGUAGGAAGAGGCUCCUGGAAGGGAAAAUGCAGAUUCCUCUCCUUUCCUGUCUAGGGAGGAAAAAGGACUGGUUUAGGCCCUGCUCCAAAUAAAAGACAUGGUCACAAUCCUCUAAGAUGGUGCUUUUCAGGCCAAGGCCCAGAGACUGAUGCCAAUCCAAAGUGAUAUUUUCAAAUCAUUUGUGAGAAGAAAAAAUAAGGACCGUGUAUAUGUCAGUGUAAGAAGGCCAACUAUUCUUUCUUAGGUAAGAAGGUAUUUUAUUCUGAAACUCUCUUAUUAUUCAUUUAUUUUUGUAUGAGUGCAAGUGUGUUAUAAUGCCCAUUCUUUAGUAAUUGGUUUAUGAUAAUAGAUGGCCAUUGCUGAUUGUGAUUGUUCCAAUAGCUUUACUUGGAAAAACAAAUAGCUAGUGACCUUAUCCUACCAAACCCCCCUCCUCCCUAUUUUUUUCUAUCAGUGAACUUCUGUUCUAGGAGACUUCAAUUGCAGGAAACAGCUUGCCUUCUAUUGCUAGAGGAAAAAGAUAUUGAUAGGCCCAGCCUUAUAACUGUGGUUACUAGCAAUGCAAAACAGCAAGCCAUAAAUCCUUAUUGAACUCAGGCACUGCUGUUUGCCAUUGAAGAGAUCUUUCUUUUCUCUCCAGUGUAACUAAAUAAAGAUGGGAGACCAGAGAAAUAAGAUAGCUGUUAAAUUAAAGAGGAAAAACGUUCAAGUUUCAAGGAGGCUGUUACAAAAACAAAUAAGCAUAUAAACCAACCAACCCCCAAACUCCUAGACCAAUAUCUAUCUCUCAGUGACCUUGGACCAUCUUAGCUGAGAUGAGCAAACUGACAGCCCAUUAAGAAUGCCAGCCCCACUCCUCUUAUUCUCUGAUGAUGGAAAUGUAAACUGGUAUAUCAGGCUAACUCUUUGACCUAGCAAUUCCUUUUUCACUAAUUUGUCAGAGAAAAUAUCAUAGUUGGGCACAAAUAAUUAUUUGGUUAUAAGGAUCUCCAUUAAAAUAAUCAUUUACUGCAUAGAAAAGCUAGACACAAAUAUCGAAUGGCAAGGGGUUGGCCAGGUAAAUCAUAGCACAUUGAUACACUGGAAUACUGUGUAAAUAUAUGAAAAUAUAUUGUAGAAAAAUACUCAAUAUUAUGCAAAAUGGUAAGAACGUAUUGUUAAAUGAGACAAGUAUAAAAAAGCAAAAGAAUAAAAUACAUACAGAAUAUUGGAUACAGUAUGAUUUAAUUUUUAUUUAAAAGAUGUUGGAUGGAGGAUGGGAGGAGGGAGAUGAUAAGGAAAAAUAACUAAUGGAUACUAGGUUUAUUACCUGGGUGAUGGAAUAAUCUGUACAACAAACCUCUAUGACACAAGUUUACCUAUGUAAUAAACCUUCACUUGUACCCCUGAACUUAAAAUAAAAGGUUAAAAAAGUGAGUCUUUUAUAAACAGCAAAAAAUAAAAAAUAAAAUAAAAA